CCCUCCCUGGCUGCGGGAGAGACGGAGGUAGAGGGAGGACACAGAGCCGCGCCGCCCGCACCGGAGACCUUCGCCUCGCCCCGCCGGUUCCUCACCCUCGGGGAGCAACAUGGCAGAUAAUCUCAGUGAUACCUUGAAGAAGCUGAAGAUAACAGCUGUUGACAAGACUGAGGAUAGUUUAGAAGGAUGCUUGGAUUGUCUGCUUCAAGCCCUGGCUCAAAAUAAUACGGAAACAAGUGAAAAAAUCCAAGCAAGUGGAAUACUUCAGCUGUUUGCAAGUCUGUUGACUCCACAGUCUUCCUGCAAAGCCAAAGUAGCUAACAUCAUAGCAGAAGUAGCCAAAAAUGAGUUUAUGCGAAUUCCAUGUGUGGAUGCUGGAUUGAUUUCACCACUGGUGCAGCUGCUAAAUAGCAAAGACCAGGAAGUGCUGCUUCAAACGGGCAGGGCUCUAGGAAACAUAUGUUACGAUAGCCAUCUCCAUUCUUUGGAGUUUCCAUGAGUGUGACCUGAAGAACUUGGAACCAUUGAAAUUCAAAUGUAGGUAGAUUCGCUUCAAGCUCAGCUUAUCAAUAUGGGUGUUAUU
rnacentral:sRNA from 1 species